rnacentral:rRNA from 1 species
AUUGAACGCUGGCGGCAUGCCUUACACAUGCAAGUCGAACGGUAACAGGUCUUCGGAUGCUGACGAGUGGGGAACGGGUGAGUAAUACAUCGGAACGUGCCCAGACGUGGGGGAUAACGAGGCGAAAGCUUUGCUAAUACCGCAUACGAUCUAAGGAUGAAAGCAGGGGACCGCAAGGCCUUGCGCGUUUGGAGCGGCCGAUGGCAGAUUAGGUAGUUGGUGGGAUAAAAGCUUACCAAGCCGACGAUCUGUAGCUGGUCUGAGAGGACGACCAGCCACACUGGGACUGAGACACGGCCCAGACUCCUACGGGAGGCAGCAGUGGGGAAUUUUGGACAAUGGGCGAAAGCCUGAUCCAGCAAUGCCGCGUGCAGGAUGAAGGCCUUCGGGUUGUAAACUGCUUUUGUACGGAACGAAAAGGCUCUGGCUAAUACCUGGGGCACAUGACGGUACCGUAAGAAUAAGCACCGGCUAACUACGUG